rnacentral:sRNA from 1 species
UGCAAUUAGUUUGCGCAACGCUAUGGUU